rnacentral:lncRNA from 10 species
CCAUGUGGAAGAAUUCAAAAUAACAUAUGUAGGUACUCCGCUCUUAAGAAGGUGAACUGUAACUCUCCACUCUGUGAAUGUGAGCUGCACAUAGUGACCUCUUUCCAAGGAGUGAGUAAGGUAUAGAAAGGAAAAUACAAUCUCGAGGCCCCAGACUCACUGUGCCAAGGGAAAAGUUAAGUCUGUUGAGUCAGGCAAAACUGCCUCCCAUUUUCUUCCUAAAUAGGUAACUGCAAAGACAGAAGCCACAUACCUUCCCAGGGGGCUUCCCUCACAAUGUCCUCACAAGGACAUUCUUUCUGGGCCCCAAGAUCUUUACCCUAAAACGGAGUUCUGUUGAAUUUCAUCCCGACAAUGUAAAUUAACAGCUUCUUUUCACAGGUAAAAGACAGGACAGAGACAGGAACAGAAGUCAUCCAUCUGCUCACCGGAGACUGAAGCAUAUUUGGCUGCUUCCUCUACUCUAUGUUUACUUUCUUUCAUGCAAAAACGCAGAUUCACUGAGCAGACCAAUGCCUCUGCCUGCUCCUUUCUUUUUGUUUUUUGUUUGUUCUUUUUGUUUUGUUUUGUUUUGUUUGUUUGUUUUGGUGGACUCUCGCUCUGUUGCCCAGGCUGUAGUGCAGUGGCAAGAUCUCGGCUCAUUGCAAGCUCCACCUCCUGGGUCUAAGCGAUUCUCCUGCCUCAUCCUCCUAAGUAGCUGAGAUUACAGGCGCCCACCACCACGCCCCGCUAAUUUUUGUAUUUUUAGUAGAGCCGGGGUUUCACCGUGUUGGUCUGGCUGGUCUUGAACUCCUGACCUUGUGAUCUGCCCACCUCGCCCUCCCAAAGUGCUGGGAUUAAAGGCGUGAGCCACCACACCCAGCCUCUGCCCACUCCUUUCACAUGUACAAGGUAAAUUCAGUGAAUGCUGAUGAAAAUCCCAAGAGAAUGCAACCACUUGCUGCUUUUGUCUACACUGUUCUGUUUUGGUUCCUCCUUUCCCCUUCUACCUACUUUUUCCUCUUUUAAAUACUGAAGCCCUCAAAAUCAUCUUUGGAAAAAGUAUGGGCCGCAGAUUCUACUGCAGCCUGUGUCUCUUUUUCCUGGGCGCAUCCUCAAUAUUGGCAAAAAUAAGCCUCUAAUUGAUGGAGACUGUCAGUCAUUUCCUUUGGUUUCACAGCAGGGAAGGAGUUGAAAGAACAGCUUUACAGGAGAGAAACUGACAAACACUACCUCGAUCCCAGUGAUCAAGAUGACCAUCAAAGUCAUAAGUCAUGCAACAGCAGGCACCCUCUAUGAGACAUGAUGAGAGGGAAUUCUGUGGGCUUGCUUACCUCUGUUGUCUUUCUUUCCAAAAUACAUUAUCCCAGGCUUGCCUCCCAUUCUAUUCAAAGUUAUCCCUGUGCUCACUGAGGCAAAGGCAUAUCAGAUUGCCUCCUUUGGAAAGGCUAAUCAGAACCUCAAAACAGGCCGGGCAGUGUCUCAAGCCUGUAAUCCCAGCACUUUGGGAGGCCAGGGUGGGUGGAUCACUUGAGGUUGGGAGCUUGAGACCAGCUUGGCCAACAUGGUGAAACCCCAUCUCUACUAAAAACAAAAUUAGCUGGGCGUGGUGGUGGGUGCCUGGAAUCCCAGUUGCCCAGGAGGCUGAGGCAGGAGAAUCCCUUGAACCUAGGGGGUGGAGGUUGCAGUGAGGCAAGAUCGCGCCAUUGCACUCCAGCCUGGGCGACAGAGCUAGACUUUGUCUCAAAAAAAAAAAAAAAAAAUUAAAAGAAUGCAACCGCUUCUCUCACCUAUCUGUGACCUGGAAGCCCUCUCCCCGGCUUAGAGUCUUCCUGCCCCCGCUUCGAGUUGUCCCGCCUUUCCAGACCAAAACAGUGUAUGUCUUAUAUCUAUUGAUUGAUGUCUCUUGUCUCCCUAAAAUGUAUGAAAUCAAGCUGUGCCCUGACCCCCUUGGGCACAUGUCAUCAGGACCUCUUGAGGCUGUGUCACAGUCGGGCAUCCUCAACCUUGGUAAAAUCAACUUUCUAAAUUAACUGAGACCUGUCUCAAAUUUUCAGGGUUCACAUAGCCUAAUCAUGAAAAAGACACCAGACAAAUUCCAAUUGAAGGACAUUCUAGAGAAUACCUGACCAGAACUCCUCAAACCUGUCAAGAUGAUCAAAACCAAGGAAAAUCACAGACACUGUCAUGACCAAAAGGAGCCUAUGGAGACACAGCUACUAAAUAUAAUGUGGUUUCCUGGAUGGGAUCCUGGAAAGAGCCCAAGGGAAACAUAGCCAUGGGACAUCUUUCUUCAAUGAAGUCUACAUUUACAGCAACCAAGCGCACACAACUCCAUUUCCUGUUUAUGUAAGACUUCUUGCUACUGGAUGCAGGGAAAAUAUAUCCCUCUUAUUGGCUUUCCCAUAAAGGUAUCUCCCACUCACCAAUGCCCUAUUCUUUUCAGGUAAGAUUCAUUCACGUGACAACUGAUUACCAAAAGACUGUAUUGGGGCAAACCUCAUGUUUUUUGUGUCUUGUCAUUCUAUAGGGAGGGAAAUGUCUCUUGCCUAAUACUUCACUUUGUUCCAUGCCCACUGUGUUCCAUAGUUUGGGAAAGCAUACUUUAAAUCCAGCGUGGGAUCUGUUUGAGUGAUCCCUGGAUUUGUAUUGGUUUUGUUUUCUGAAGCAGGUUUGUCUUAGUGGGUGCCCUUUAGAGAUCACUUUUGUUAUAAAAUGAACCAAGAUUAAUAGCCAGCUCCAUGUCAUGUGUUUGCAUGUCUUCAGCUGACGAAUUUCAAAUGACCUUCUUGUUCUGCCAAUACAUUGUGGAGAUACCAUCACUGAAAGCCGGCCCUUGCUACUGCUGACUCUGUCAUAUGGGGAAGGGGACAGUGUGUAAUUCUGCCUGUGGUAAUCUGCUUGUGGCAGUGAUUUUAUAGCCUGCAAACUUUUGCUUAUUGUACCCAGAUGUUGUAUGAUACUUUGCCAAAAAUACAUCUUUUAAAGAAUCUGUCUUAACUCUUUGUUUUGAGAUAAUUUUAUGCUUACAAUAUUUGUCUCAUCAUGUUCUCUCUCUGUCUCUGUAUGUAAACAUUUUUGAACCAUUUGAGAGUAAGUUGCAAAGAAAAUACGCCAUUACCUUAGUGUACAAUUCCUAAAAAUAAGGGUAUUUUCUUACAAAACCAGAGUACAAUUUUCAAAAUCAGAACAUUUAUGUAAGUGCAGUUCUAUUAUCUAAUACAUAGACUUUAGUCAAGUUUUGUAAUUUUUUACUGGCCCAGGAUCAAUCUGGUAUUCAUGUUGCCCUUGGUUUUCUUGUCUCA